CAAGAAACCCACACACUUUUCCCACCUCCACAUCCAAUAAUUUGCUCCGUUUCUCUCUCAACCUGCUCCCUCAAACUCAACACUCCAACAAAACUACAAAGCCGCAUGCAUAUACACAGGUGUUUCUGUAUCUAUACCUCACCAUUCCGGCAAUAAAAAUCCAAUCUUGAAAAAACACACACACACGCAGUAGGAAGAAGAAAUGGAGAAGAGCGGCGAUGGGUUUGUGAGAGCGGAUCAAAUUGAUUUGAAGAGCUUAGACGAGCAGCUGGAGCGCCAUUUGAACAGGGCGUGGACAAUGGAGAAGAACAAGAGGAAGAAUCAAGAAGAUUACUCCACCGCCACCACCACCUCCGCCGCCGUCGCUCCGGCAAUCACCACCACCACCACCUCCCGAAGGCAGCGCCAGGAGUGGGAGAUUGACCCCUCCAAACUCAUCAUCAAGAGCGUCAUCGCUCGUGGCACCUUUGGGACCGUCCACCGCGGCGUUUACGACGGCCAGGAUGUCGCCGUUAAACUGCUGGACUGGGGAGAAGAGGGCCACAGGACAGAGGCUGAAAUACAAGCUCUAAGGUCAGCUUUUACUCAAGAAGUUGUUGUGUGGCACAAACUCGAUCAUCCUAACGUAACAAAGUUUAUAGGGGCAACGAUGGGCGCUACGGAUCUUAACAUUCAAACUGAAAAUGGUCAUAUAGGCAUGCCCAGUAAUAUAUGUUGUGUCGUUGUGGAGUAUCUUCCGGGAGGAGCCUUAAAAUCUUACCUCAUAAAGAACAGGAGAAAGAAGCUAGCUUUUAAAGUAGUUGUGCAAAUGGCACUCGAUCUUGCUAGAGGGUUAAGCUACCUUCAUUCUGAGAAGAUUGUUCACAGAGAUGUGAAGACGGAAAAUAUGCUUUUAGAUAAGACACGUACAGUCAAAAUUGCAGAUUUUGGUGUUGCUCGUGUUGAAGCCUCGAAUCCUAAUGACAUGACGGGGGAGACUGGGACCCUUGGUUACAUGGCUCCUGAGGUUCUCAAUGGAAAUCCUUACAACAGGAAAUGUGAUGUAUACAGUUUUGGCAUCUGUUUGUGGGAGAUAUAUUGUUGUGAUAUGCCAUAUCCGGACCUUAGUUUCUCGGAGGUGACUUCAGCAGUCGUUCGCCAGAACUUGAGGCCGGAGAUACCCAGAUGUUGCCCAAGCUCACUUGCCAAUGUGAUGAAGCGAUGCUGGGACGCCAACCCUGACAGAAGACCAGAAAUGGAUGAGGUGGUCGCCAUGUUGGAGGCAAUCGACACUUCUAAAGGAGGAGGGAUGAUUCCUAAUGAUCAAGCCCAAAGCUGUCUCUGUUUUCGGAAGCGUCGUGGCCCUUGAAGAACAUCAGACGUAUGGUAUGAGAAUAGGUAUAUUUCCAGCAGUCACACUGUGAAGAUGAAGGUUUCUUUGAUCAAUUAGCAGCAACGAGUCAUUAAACUGAAAUCAGAGUUAUAAAUCCCAAACAUACAGCAGACAGCCUAUUUCUUCUCAGCAUUGCUGUCCAAUAACCUCCUGAGCUGCAGAACUUGAGGCCGGAGAUACCCAGAUGUUUCCCAAGCUCACUUGCCAACGUGAUGAAGCGAUAUUGGGACGCCAACCUCGACAGAAGACCAGAAAUGGACAGAGGUGGUCACCCUGUUGGAGGCUAUCGACACUUCUAAAGGUGGAGGGAUCUGUUUUCGGAAGCGCCGUGGCCCUUAAAGAGCAUCAGUUUACAAUGAUGGAUGGAACGAUAUUCUCAGACUCGUUUAUGCAUAGAGAGAGAUGGAACGAUAUGCUCAGACUCGUUUAUGCAUAGAGAGAACAGAAAACUCCUGAUCCAGAUUGUUUUUAUUAAGGCUGAAUGGGAUUGGAGCAUUUACUCUUGCAAUGGUGUUGUAAAGUUUCUGAAAUAUCAUUAUUAAUCGAUUUGAUUCUCUUAUUAGUU